CAUUAGCGCGCUUCGGCGCGCUCCUCCCUGAACCUUGGCCACUCCGUGCGUAUGCACGGGGUGGCUUUUUUCUGUGCGGC
rnacentral:misc_RNA from 1 species